GCUUAAUGGAAAAUUUUGAGAAAGUUGUCGUUAUGAACCAAUUCAAUGGCUGGAGCAUUUCCUGCAAAGGCUCUUAUCUGGAGAAAGAGGAUUUCAGGAUUGUCUGCAUGUCAGGACAAAGCAAAGAAGAAUUCAGCAACUGCUGCUUAAAAACUCAUUCACUACUUUAGAAAUCGAGACAAAGUGAAAGACAUGGAUGGAAUGAAUUCAGCCCCUCCUCCUAUUGUUUCUCUAGCAAGAAGGUGACCAAAGCUAUAAAUGUUUGUUUCCUGAAAA
ensembl:lncRNA novel transcript